rfam:Mesocricetus auratus contig033562, whole genome shotgun sequence.
UGUGUGUGUGUGAAUGUAUGUGUAACUGGUAGACAAAGACAUAAAAGAAAAAUGCAAAAAUAAAUCCUCUUUUGCAACCCAAACUCAGUGUUCCAUAUGCCUUUUGCUACAUAUACAAAUGAAUAUA